rnacentral:lncRNA from 1 species
AGUAUAGGGCAAAAGAAAAUCACACAGGGAUUUUUAUACUGGUUCGAUUCAACAGAAUCUACGUCCAGUCGUUAAUCACUUCAAAGAGUGAUUAACAGUUCCACUAAAAUAUUUGUUUAACAGAUUACAAAAUAAUAAAAAGGAAUAGAAUGAAAGAAACAACUCUACCAACUUGAAGAGAACCUGCACCGGCAAUCGACACACGAUUCACGUGCUUCUCCUUACACAAGACCAGGUAGAGAGCCCUGCCAACUUGAAGAGAGUCCACUUCUUGUAUCAGCACACGAUACGUAAGCCUCUCCUUNCACAAGACCAGGCAAGGGAACACAGUAAACAAAAAAGCUUUCUCAAGAACGUUCC